rnacentral:rRNA from 1 species
UACGGAGGGUGCGAGCGUUGUUCGGAAUCACUGGGCGUAAAGGGCGUGUAGGCGGUCCGCUAAGUCUGAUGUGAAAGCCCGGGGCUCACCCCCGGAAGUGCAUUGGAAACUGGCAGACUCGAGUCCCGGAGAGGAGAGUGGAAUUCCUGGUGUAGCGGUGAAAUGCGUAGAUAUCAGGAGGAACACCGGUGGUGUAGACGGCUUUCUGGACCGUAACUGACGCUGAGACACGAAAGCGUGGGUAGCAAACAGG